UAAAACAUUUUGUGCAAAUUCUCAGAAGUAGCUAAUAAUGUCUAACAAGUGUCAAUUAUUUUUGGUACUUCAGCUAUUAAUCCUGCUAAUGAAAUCUUGGAAGGUAAAAGGCGACUGUUGCCGUGCGACGAAGAAUCUGUGUGACGAUUGGUCACAUCCAACCCCGUGUUGCGGAGUAGAUCAGUGUAAUAUAUUCUGCUGCAAUUGCGAAUGUCGGGAAAAACCUCGUUACGUAUGGUGGUUCGAAAAUUAAUGGUGGUAGUUCUUAGAGAAAACAUUACAGGGUGCUCCGGAUAUUUAAGAACUGCCUUCCAGAGUAAGUCUUGGAAAUGUACUAACUUGUAUAGAAUUGUAUAUAAAAUGUAAUUUUAAUAUAAGUUUCAGUUUAUUUUCAUUAUAGUUAAUUAUUUUA